UAGGUUGUAAAUGUCACCUCAUGCUC
rnacentral:piRNA from 1 species